GACGAACGCUGGCGGCGUGCUUAACACAUGCAAGUCGAACGGAAAGGCCCUGCUUGCAGGGUACUCGAGUGGCGAACGGGUGAGUAGCACGUUUGUGAUCUGCCCUGCACUUCGGGAUAAGCCUGAGAAACUGGGGCUAAUACCGGAGAGAAGCCAUUUUUAGUUUGAUGGUUGGAAAGUUUGUUCGGUGUAGUAUGAGCUCGCGGCCUAUCCGCUUGUUGGUGGGGUAAUGGUCUACCAAGGCGGCGACGGGUAGCCGGCCUGAGAGGGUGGACGGCCACAUCGGCACUGAGAUUCGGACAAGACUCCGACGGGAGGGAGAAGCGGGGAAUAUUGCACAAUGGGCGCAAGCCUGAUGCAGAGACGCCGCGUGGGGGAUGACGGCCAUCGGGUUGUAAACGCCUUUCGCUAGGGACGAAGACGUUUGUGACGGUACCUAGAGAAGAAGCACCGGCUAACUACGUG
rnacentral:rRNA from 1 species